CAAAACCAGUUCCACCAGCAUUCCAGCUCCUAAAGUGGAAAGGAAGUGAUGUUGUUUUUCGAAGAGCCCAUUUCCGGUAUCGCUCAAUGAGCACAGAAGCGGUGGAAGCGGGGCUCAAUGUAAAAAGAGACUCGUUAGUUUCUUUUCCUCCAUCCUGGUAUUUGAGCAUCUUCAUCCUGGUCUCUAAGUGCCCGGACUCAAAACAGGAAGGCUGAGUAUGAACACAGAUAGAGACGAUUCUGACACAGUGACCGUGGGGACAGUAGAUACCGUUACAUUGACCCAAGAUACAGAAGGGAACUUUAUACUUCAUUGUCCACAAAAUGAUGUUCCUGAGCUGAAUUCCAGUGACAGUGGAGAACCUCCACGAAAGAGAUUGUGUUUGUCAUCGGAGGAUGAACAAAGUCUUGAUGAAUCAGCGCCAUGCAUUUCUGUUGUUGCAGUCCCAAUUCCAGAUAAUAAUCAGAGUUUUGAGGUGACAAUGGCUGCUGCCAGUGAAGUGGCAGAUGAAGAAAUUGGUGAAGGAACUGUUACUCAGAUACAGAUUCUUCAAAAUGAAGAACAGAUUGAGGGACUUUCUCCUUCACGCAGUGAAGCAAUAGCCCCUGUUAGCCAGGCAUGGUUUACUACAAAGGAAGACAAGGAUUCCUUAACUAACAAAGGUCAUAAGUGGAAACAAGGAAUGUGGUCUAAAGAAGAAAUCGAUAUCCUCAUGAGCAAUAUUGAUAACUAUUUAAAGGAGCAUGGAAUAAAAGAUGCUGCUGAAAUUAUCUUUGAAAUGUCAAAGGAUGAGAGGAAGGACUUUUAUAGGACAAUAGCCUGUGGAUUGAACCGACCGUUGUUUGCAGUUUACAGAAGGGUUUUGCGGAUGUAUGACAACAGAAACCACGUUGGAAAGUACACUCCUGCAGAAAUUGAAAGACUAAAAGAAUUACGAAUGAAGUAUGGCAAUGACUGGGCAACAAUUGGAGCUUCAUUGGGAAGAAGUGCUUCAUCUGUGAAAGACCGAUGCAGAUUGAUGAAAGACACUUGUAACACAGGGAAGUGGACAGAAGAGGAGGAAAAGAGGCUGGCAAAAGUGGUUCAUGAAUUGACAUGCACAGAACCUGGGGACAUUGUGACUCAAGGCGUUUCUUGGGCUUCUGUGGCAGAAUUAGUUGGGAGUCGUUCAGAAAAACAGUGUCGCUCCAAAUGGCUUAAUUAUCUAAACUGGAAACAAAGUGGGGGCACUGAAUGGACCAAAGACGAUGAAAUAAACCUGAUCAUGAGGAUAUCUGAGCUUGGAGUGUCAGAUGAAAACGAUAUAAACUGGGACCUCAUGGCUGAAGGGUGGAGUAGCGUUCGUUCCCCACAGUGGCUUCGAAGUAAAUGGUGGACCAUCAAACGGCAAAUCACCAACCAUAAAGAAGUAUCAUUCCAUGUACUAAUAAAAGGUCUGAAGCAGCUAUUGGAGAUCCAGAAACAGUCGGGCACUUCAGGUCACAAGCUGUAUGAAAACAAACCUGGGUCUGGGAUGCACAGCAUUAACUCAUCAUCAGGAGUACAGCACGUGCAGAUUCAUGUCACUCACUUAGGUGACACUACCUCUGUCCCUCAAAGCCCCAUGGCAGCUCUUCAGAUUCCAGUACAAAUCACACAUGUUGCAUCGUCAGAAUCACCAGCAGUCACAGGUGACACUGAGACAAUAACACUAAACACUGGGGCACUACAAACAUUUGAAAUUCUUCCAUCUUUCCACCUACAACCUACUGGGACACCAGGAACAUAUUUAUUGCAGACUGGUUCAAGCCAAGGCCUUCCUUUAACUCUGACAAGUCCUACAGUCACCUUAACAUCUGCUGCAUCACCAUCUUCUCCUGAACAGAUAAUAGUACAUGCCUUAUCUCCUGAGCACUUGCUGAACACAAACGACAGUGUUACUGUGCAGAUGUCACAUCCCAGUGUCAUCAUUCAUACAGUUGCUGCUGAUGAUAUCACCUCCUCCAUAACACAGGCAGAGCUAACAGUGGAUGGCAGUUUGGGCCACAGUGACCUUUCAGAUCACGAGCACACUCUUGAUGCAGAUUCCUUCACAAACCAAAUCCAGGAAGCCAAGUUGAAUGAAGAUGCACUUUCCCCAUGUAGCACAAAUGGUGCACAUUCAGCACAGCUGAGCAAUAAGGACAGCACAGAACUGAUUCAUAGUAUUGACGUUAGUAUAGAUGGAGAUAUCAGUGCACAAAACCUCAAACAGAAUGAUGAAGUACAUUCUGAUCUGACCAGUGCUUAUGUAAGAGAGGGUCUUGAAUCACCCACUAUGGUGGAACAAGUUGAUCAGUCUGCAAUUGAUGAAAGUGUAAUUAUUGUUCCGUCAUCACAUGAAUUUAUUCGGUCAUCGGAUGACAUUGAUAGUGACUCAGUUUUACCACUAACAACAUUAACAGAUCCUAUCCUGCAGCAUCAAGGAGAAGGCUCAAAUAUUAUUGGCUCAUCACUCAACAGUCCAAUUUCAGAAGAUUCAAAAGACAAUGAGGAUUUAGAAGGGUGCCACUAGGAGUAACACAGAUGUCCUACUCCAUGAGUACAGAGACUUUAUACUUGCAAUUAUAACCUGAGAAACUUUGUAAAAGCAUACCAUUUACAGACUUGCCGCAAAACUUACUUUCUGGCACCGAACACUGGCACCACAUGCUGCUAAUUAAUAUGGCACAAUCGGAUUUCACUUUUGCUGGAGAGCUGAAACAAUCUUACUGUGUUGAUAUAAUUUAUUUAAAGCAGAUGUUUCUUUUUUCUAGCUCCAUGUGGAUUUUUUUGUUUCACUGCAAUUCACAGAAGAUUUGAAUCUGAAAAGAAAAAAGAAGAAAAGAAAACAAUGUCAACCAAUAUAACUCAGUGCAGUAGCUGUAUCUUAUUUCAUAAAAUGAGAGAUAACAUAAAUGGCCUUGGCUCAGAAUCUGUUCUUCGGUUGCAUUUUAAAUUACCAACAGCUCUAAAAGGAUGUUGUAAUAGUUUUACCGUCACUCAAGUUAAUUCAUUUGCACACUUCUAUAUCACAGCACCAGAUAUUUUCCUGGCUUUAUGUACCAGCAAAAAAGUAAAUAUU